rnacentral:lncRNA from 1 species
AAAGAUCUAUAGUUAACGGUGAUGGGAUUCCGAACUAUUCAAUUAGAUACUUUCUUUGAUUUUCUACCUAAUAUUUCAAUAAUAUUCAUAUUGAGACUUGAUUAGUUCAGAAUUCACGCAUUGCGCGAUCGUUUUCUAAGGACGAUGCUUUCAUAAAAAAAUUGCUCUUAUAAAUUUGAACUCAAACCUCGAAUUAAGGAUAAAAAGAAAUCGAACCAUCCUCACAACGUGUCAACGAGAUACUCAUACUCCAUUUACUCAAUCUUAUAGUAUGAUUUAGCUUUUAGUUUAUUAAGCAGUAAGAUUUUAAAAAAUAUUUUUGAUUAGUAUGUAUAUUUGUGAGUUACAUUUCAAAAUAUCUUAUUUGACAAAAAAUAAUUUUGGUUACUAUUUUUUUUUUGUUAGGAAUAAGCGGCCAAAACUAACUUGGACGGUUAUUGUGCAAGCAUUUCUCUCAGGACUACUAGGGUAAGUGAUAUUCAACUAUUGACUUUCAAAUUAUUUUCGUUGUCCUGAAUUAUAUGACACUUGUUUUUUAUCAAUUCGAAGUGUUUUCAUAUUUUUAAAAUUUUAUGUUCAGUCAAACUGUAACACAUAAAUUGAGAAUGAGGGAGUAAUAAAAGAUAAACUACAAAGGAGAUUAAUAUAAUUCAUUCAAACUAUGGGGGUCCAAAUUGAGAAUGAGGGAGUAACUCCUUAAUUAAGGCUCAAGCAAUAUAUAUAUAAGAGUACUUAUCUACAAAUUGCAUCAAUUUAAAACUACAAAAUGGGGCUUAAAUUAGUUCAUAAAAAGAAUAAAUGAUCAACUUAAAAAGGUGUUCAAUCUAUUUAGAUAGGAUAAGAUAAAAUUAAAGAUAUCUUGGAAAAAACGUUUUAUGAUGUCCAUUCAGUUUACUUACACUUUUCCCAAGAAUAUAUCUGCUUAUGAUAUUUUAUUUUAUUUUAAAAAAAACUCAUUAUAUAACACGAAUAUUUAAAAAGAUACAAUUAUUAUAUUUUUAAUACAAUUGUUACUAUCGUUUAAGUAUCAUGUUAUAUCCAAUUGAUAUAAUUCGUUGCAACUUUUUUCAAGAUUCUCUAAAUUAGUAUCCUUUUGGAUAGGCAUAAUUUAAUGCCCAAUAUGAUUAUACUUUUUGUACGUUAAAAAGUAUUUUUUUUAAAAUAAUUUUCUAGUGUUUAGUUAGAGAAUGUGACAUAUGAUUACAGUAAUCGAGUCAAUACGACAAAAGUUAUAUAAACAUAAUAUAUUAACAAUUAGUUUUAUUUACUACACAAAGUUUUAUUUUUUUGGUUAAUUAGAAGAAGAAAUUAGAGAUAAUAAAUUGAUGUGAUGAAAUUGUUGUUAUUUCAGGGGUUCGUUAUUUUCGAUUUUAUUUUAUACAAGUGUGAUAAUGACAUCUGCAACAUUUGCAACUGCAAUUUACAAUCUUAUCCCUGCAAUGACUUUUGUUAUAGCAGUCCUCCUAAGGUAUACAUAUAUUUAUUUACUUUAUUCUUAUGUUAUUCUUUUUGUGUGUGUAAAUUCUCAAUAUUCAAAGGAGGAGGACAAAAGUACCUUAAUAAUUCGUAAAUUUAGAUCGGCUAAUUAUUCUCGGAUAGCACCUUAAUUACACAUUCAUCAAUUGUGCUCAUGAGGGUAUAAAACUUUUUUUCUACAUUCUGACGAUAGCGACCACUAACAAGUUGAUCAAAUAACUCAAGCAUAAGUUAAAGCAAAGGCGGAGCUAGGAGGGAAAGGGUUCAAUUGCAUCCGUUUACCAAAAAAAUAUAUUGUGCUAACAGAGUAAAAAGAAAAAUCUAGAUUGUAAAUAAAUUUUUAAAUCUCUUAAGCAUAAGAGGAAAUUCUAGUUAGUGAUAGAGGAGGUUUGAAAGUUACUUUAGGUCGGUAAGUUUAAAUUAAUUCGAUUUCGAUGUUGAAGGUUGUUGUGAAUCUAUUUAUAUAAUUUACUGAUUUUGUCAUUAAUGACAUGAAAUUUUAUUAUUUUUUCCCUUCCUUUAAGUUUAAACUAACUCAAUUUCGAUGUUGAAUGUUGUUGUGAAUCUAUUUAUAUAAAUUUCUGAUUCUGUCACUAAUGAUGUGAAAUUUUAUUAUUUUUUCCCUUCCUUCAAGUUUAAAUUAACUCGAUUUCGAUGCUAAAUGUUAUUGUAAAUCUAUUUGUAUAAAUUUCUGAUUCUGUCACUGAUAACGUGAAUUGCUUCUUUUUUUUUCCUUUCAUAAAAUGUUCAUUAGGUUUGAGAAUUUAUCAUUUGAUAAAGUAAGUGGGAAAGCAAAGGUAAUGGGAACAAUGAUAUGUGUUGGUGGAGCAAUGCUAUUGACAAUAUACAAAGGAAUAGAGGUUCAUAUGUGGCCUAUCAAAAUUGAUUUGCUACAUCAUGAUAAUGAAUCAACAACACAUAAGAAGUUAGUUGGUGGCACUUUUGCUUUAGGAAUUGUACUGGCUGUCACCUCUUGCAUUUGUUAUUCACUAUGGAUAGUAUUAUUGGUAAGUAUAUAUAUACUUCAUUUUACCAAACACCAAUAAAAUGAGUGGAAUGAAUUUCUUUAGCAUGAUUUGUUUGCAAUUAUAUGUAUGUUUGACUAAUUAUUGUUGUUUUGUUUGAUCAAUUUUAAUAGGCUAAGGUAAGUAAAAACUAUCCAUGUCACUACUCAAGCACAGCAUUGAUGAGCCUAAUGGGAUCCAUUCAGUCAGUCCUAUUUGCACUAUGCUUUGACAGACAAGUAUCUCAAUGGAGGCUUGGUUGGGACAGAAGAUUGUUUGUUGUUCUCUAUCUUGUAAGUCAUCAAUGUUAAUUAACUUAUCAACAACAUCAUAUUCAGUGUAGUCCUACAAGAGAGGUCUGAGAAGUAGAAUGUACACAAAUUUUAUCGUUACCUUUAUAUGGUAGAGAAGUUAUUUCCAGUAGACCCUCGGUUCAACAAGGCAUAAUAAAAAACAGGCUAGAAAGCAAAUAAUGACAAUAAAGUAGCAAGAUAAACACAUUCAGUGUAAUUUCACGAGUGGGGUCUGUAGACCAAAUUUAUGUAACCUUAUCCCUAUCUUUGUGGGGUAGACACUACUAAAAUAUCACUAUUUUCCCACUGAAAAUGUAUAGUGGUUUUUACCACAGAUAUUUUUAUUCGAUGAGUGAGAAAAGAACAAAUAGUUGUGUUUUUCUUUCACAUGGAAAAAAUUAGGACGCUUCUCAGUAUUUCAGUGAGAAUUUGCUUCUCACCAUGUGUUUUCUCAGUGAAUUGGUUAGGUGAAAAUUGAGUGGGAAAAUCAUUUUUAUAACACAAAUUUUCGUUGAUUUGCAAUGGAAAGAACCUCUAUUUCUAGUAGUGAGAGAGGUUGUAUACGAUAGACCCUCGACAUGACUUAUGAACAUCAAUAAAUAUAUGUAUAAUAAAAUGUUUAUGUUAUUAGACAAUUUGUUAGAACUAUGGUUGUUGAUUAUAUAUAGUUCCUUUUUUUAUGCAGGGAACUUUAGGAUCUGGAAUUGUGGUGAUUUUAAUGACAUGGUGCUCUCAGAAAAGAGGCCCUCUAUUUGUCUCUGUCUUCAACCCUCUAAUCCUUCUUUUUGUGGCACUAGCUAGCUCAUUGUUUCUUAAUGAGACCCUAUAUCUAGGAAGGUAAUUAUUCAAUUCUUUUUUUUUUUUUUUAAAACUCUUAUUUAUUUAAAAGUUUGAUAUUUCAAGUUGUAGUUAUCAUGAUAUAUUAUGAAAGUUGCUUGCAUAUAUAGUAUCAACAUACUUAUAGGUGGUAUAAACGGCAUCUAGUCGUAACACUUUGUAGUUGUCAUGUAUACUCAGUGUAUAACAAAUGUAUACAUAAUAAUUGUAUACAAAAUAUACAUUGAUUAUACACUAUAUACUAGUUAAUUUUUUUAUCGCGGACAUUGUUUGAAUUGCUGUAUAGUGUAAAAAGCCUUUGAAAAAUCUUCUUACUUGCUUAACUUGUUGAGCCUUUGAAAAAUCUUCUUACUUGCUUAACUUGUUGGUUAUGGACAGUAUAUUAGGUGGAUUGCUUAUAAUAAUGGGGCUGUAUGUGGUGCUAUGGGGAAAAGGAAAAGACAUGAAGGCUUCAAAGGCUAUUAUAUUAUCCAAAGGAGCCUUGCAGAAAAAUGAUUUAGAAGCUCCUAAUCAAGAUCAAGGUAACAUUAAUUAACUUAUUUUUUAUUAAUUUAAUUGUCUAAUCUUUACAAGUUUUGGUUGAAUACAUAAAUUCUUUCAUGACAAUAAUUGUAAAACAUAGCUAACAACCAAGUAAUUUAUGAGCAAUCCCUUAGUUAUAUGACAUAAAAAUCAUAGUUCAUUCUUUACUCUUUUUCAACUUCUUGUUAAUCUAUCGGAAACAACCUCUUCACCUCCAAGAUAGUAGUAAGAUCUGCGACUCUGUGUACACUUAACCAUUUCCGGACUCCACUUGUGCGAUUACAUUGAAUAAGCUAUUGUUGUUGUUGUUGUUUCAACUUCUUGUUAAUGAGACUUUUAUCAUAUGCAGUCACUUCUUCAACAAUAAAGCAAGGCUUGACCCAAUAGGAGUUGGAAUGUGUUUGUGGGCUAUUUCUUGCACAAAGUUAGGACUACCAACAGGCCCAACACCAUGGAAAUGAAGAAAAAAAAAGUUCCAACUUUGUCAUUUGAUAUAAAAUUUGGAACUUAUCAAUAUAUAUGUAACCACCUUAAAUGAUAAUUGUAACAUGUAAGGCAAUAUGUGUACCCCAUUAGUGAGCAUUCCAAGAAAAAUAGUAUACAUAAUGAUCAUCAUUGAUAAGCCUUCCAAAGUUUAAUUUUGUAAAUUAGGAAUUUAAUUUGGUACUUGAUUUUAGUAGAAAUUGUUGAGCAAGCCCAAAUAUUGAGCGUUAAACGUGUUUAAUAUGCAUUAGCAAACGCUUGAAACGUAUGCCUCACAGAGUUAAGCCCCAAAAGGCAUUGGUCAUAAAUGCAUUCAUAUGGAAGAUAAUUUUAUUUAUUUUUAUUACCUUAAAAGGGAAAUAGUGGAAAUUAGACCACAUAUAAGUGAUAAACUUCCAUAGAAAUAAGCAUUUGUGUGAAAAUGACUUGAUUUUAACAUUUUUGUUUCUCUAUUAGUUCAUCGCCAAGUGUAUAAUUUGGAACCUUUUUAUUUUGAAAAAUCCCUUGGGUGGGUGGGGAAUAAUAACAAAUUAUCACAGAAGAUUUAAAAAUUAAAAAUAAGUACUGGUCAGAAUUAAAUAAGGAUGUAGUCUGGCACUGUGUCUUUGUUUAAUACUUGGGAAAUCCAAAACUCAGAUAAGAGAAAAAAAACAGAUCAAAGUUAUUUAAAUUUGACGUGAAUUAUUAGUUGCAUUUCUAAAUUAUUGUCAGCCUUAAAAACACCUUUUAUUUGACUAACUAAACUUAAAUACACUUUGAUCUUGCAAUAUGAGUGAAAUACCCUCUAAAUUUUCACCAAGUUUAGAUAUGUUUUCAACACUUCUCUUGCCAUUUUAUUAAGAGUCCCUUGUUUGUACAAGAAUUUUAAAUCACUUGCUAUGCCAUGUAGCAGAUCGGGGUGUAUCUAAGUUUAGUUUAUCAAGUACAUAGGUGUUUUAAAGGAUAUGAAUAGUUCGAAGACGAAACUAAUAAUUUACGUUAAGUUUAGAAGUGUUUACAAUAAUUCUCUCUAUAUUAAAUGUUAUUUACUUCAUUUUUUUUAAAAUAAAAAAGUUACUACCUUUUUAUAUUUUGAUUUUAAAAUUUUCUUUUUAAAAUAUUAUGCUAAAACAAAUAUUAUCAUAUAAAUUGAAACAGAAAAGUAAGAUCAACCCUUAGAUACAUGUAUUUGUGAAAAAUUAUUAUAAAAUAAAAUAAUUAAAAUAUGCACAGUACACACCACUAUAAUAUUUUUUUUUUCAAAAAAAUAAAAUAGAAUAAAAUCAAAAUUGGUAUGUCAAACGUAACCACAAGGACAAGAUAGACAUCUCUCAUGUUUCUUCAUAAAAAGGCCUAAAAUUAAUAAGAAGAGCAAACUCAACAUAGAGAGAUGGCCACAAAGGCUUUAAUUCAGCCUCAAAUCAGAGUUUCACAUCUGUCUCCUCCAUUGCCAAAUACCAUUGAAAUGAUGAUAAGAAAUAAUAUUAUUAAUUCUCCAAGAAAUUUUAACAAGAUUUCAAGAUUUGUGCAACAAAGAACCAUUUUUGCUGCUCCUGAACAACAACAACAAAGUAAUGUUGAGGUUUCACAUUCAACUUCUUCCCAAGUCAAGAUUCAACUUUAUGAUGCCCUACAAGGUAAUAUAAUAUUGCUUUCAUUUUUCAUUCACUUAUCUUUCUAUCUUUAGUCCGGGGGCGGAGCUAGUCAGAGUUCAGGGAUUUAUUCAAAAUUUUGGGUAAAAUAUUAUAAUAAUUAUAUAUGGUAAAUGUUGACUUUUGUUAAUUUUUUUGUAUGUUUAUUUUUUUAUGUUUUAAUUUUUUAGUGAAAAUUUUGAUUCUAUCGUGGCUACUUUUAAGCCCCUCCCUCUGCACCUCUGCUUCUCUAUCUCUAUGUUUAGGGCUUGAGCUAGUUGUCUUGUGUAGUAUUUUAAGGAUUGUUUAGUACUCGAGAUAAAAAUAAUAAUUUUGACUUGAAAUACUGGUAAAUGUUGGAAAUAUUUUAUUUCAUUAUUUGUAUUAAAUGGUGGGAUUAUAUGUACAAACUUUUCUUUAUUUAUUAAUGGGCUAGGAGCCCUAUUUUAAUUUUAAAAAACAAAUUAAAAUGAUGAGAUUACACUGCUAUAUAGAAAGUAGAAUAAAAUAAUUUAAUGAAAUAUUCUGACUUAUUUUAUCUCGCGUUCUGAACAACUCCUUACAUUAUUAACUUUAGGCAUAAUAUGUACAUGGAUAUCCGUUGAAUUUAUUACUAAUUUUUAUUUAGAUAUUCGAAUUAUGAUCUAUUUCAAUUGAGCAUUUGAAUACAUAAUAAAAUAUUUUUAUUCAACAUUUUUGAGUCAAUUUUGAAAAAGAUUUUGUGCAUAUUUUCAAGCAUUCAUUAAGUAACUAAGUUAAACACUUAAAAUAUAUUAAUUUCUUUUAUUAUACACAUUAGCCUCAAUAAGUUGUAAAAAAUGAGACAUAUUUUAUAUAAUUAAUUUAUUUACUAAAUAACACUUGAGAACAGACACAAAACUUUUUCAAAAUAUAAACAUACUAUUAAUACAUAUAUAUAUUCUUAUUUUGUUUGUUGAAAAUAUUGUUUAGGAAUUAACAGAGGAAUUUUUGGAGUAUCAUCAGACAAGAAAUUUGAAAUAGAAGAGCUAGUGAAGCAAUUGGAAUCUCAAAAUCCAACUUUUGAACCAACCUCAUCUCUAGAUAAGGUGAUGUGGUAUUGUGCCAUACCAUUAUACUUCCUCUGAUCUAAUUUAUGUGGCAUCUUUUUAAAUUUUUCGAGAGCCAGAAAUUUGCGCAUGAAAUCUUCAAAUUUUUUGAAAUAAAAUUUAUAUAUUUGUAAAUUACAUACAAAAUAUUAUUAAUCACAAUAAUUGACAGUUCAAAAUAUUUAAAAAUACAUGAAAAAAUUACAAUCAAAGAUAGACUUGUUUAAAUCUCAAAAUCUAAAAUGUGCCACGUAAAUUGAGACGAAGGAAGUAUUAUUAUAAUUUAUUUUACAGUUGAAUUAAAUGUUGCAUAUUUCUGAUUUAGAAUAAAUGAUUUUGGUAUAUGAGUAGGUGGCUGGAAAUUGGAAGCUUAUAUACAGUACAAUAAGUAUUUUAGGAUCAAAAAGAACAAAAUUAGGAUUGAGAGAUUUUAUCACACUUGGGGAUUUAUAUCAGAAUAUUGAUAUUUCUCAGGUAUUCUAUUUUAAUUUAAGAUCACAAGAUUUCAUUAUUUUAUUUUUUAAAACUUUGCAUAUAGUUAAAUUAAAACAUAUAAAAUGAAACAAAGGAAGUAUUACGUAUUUUUUAUUUUUUCAUAUUUCGACUAAUUUCAAAUAUUUUAUUGAUGAUAAAUGGAGGGAAAAGCUGUGAAUGUGAUUAAGUUUAAUGCCAGAGGAUUAAGUUUAUUAAGUGGAGAGUUAAGGAUUGAAGCUUCCUUCAAAAUUGCAUCAAAAUCAGUUAAGAUUUCUCUCCUUUUAUAUUAUUUUUUUAAGAAUAUAUAAUUUUGUUAAUUUCAUAUUCCUGAUUUUUUUUAAAUUUGAUUUUUAUUUUUCAAUUGUAGAGAGUUGACAUUUUCUACAAUAAUUCUGGAAUUACACCAGACCAGGUAUGGGUUAAUUAUGUUUCCUGCAUUGCAAAAAGUUAUUAUUCGAGCUCGUUCGAUCAAGAAAUAAGUUAUUUCGAUAUUAAUUAUUUCAGAAUUGUUGUUCUAUCCGCAAUAUAGGAUAGAAACAAUACUAUAGUCUCAACCAUACAUGAAAUGAACUCAUCCUAAAAUUAAACAGGAGAUUAGUUAUCCUUUAUACCGAACGAGCCUUAAGUGAAAAAAUAAAACUAUCUACAAAAUUUAUUUCUUCUCUUAAAUGAAAUUGAUAAAGCAAAUAGUUUAACAAAGAACAUGCACAUGUGAUUAUGUCAGGGUAAAAGUAGAUCUAAAGAAUAUAUUAGGAUUUUUUUUCAGUACUUUUUCAUGUAAUCUUUAGUUUUUAGAAUUAAUUAGUUUCAUAAAUUCUACUGCUAGACCACACAUGUUUUUUGGGAAAAAAGAUAAAUAUACCCCAAAUUAUCGUAAAUGGUAUGUACAUAUCCUCCGUCAUACUUUUGGGACAUUGAUGCCUCUGUAGUCCAAAAACUAGAACAUAUAUAUCAUUUAUACUAACGGACAUACACAUGUCAUAAUCUUAUCCACCGAUCAGACAUUUAUUAAAUAUUGGAUUGACGGAUAAGAUUGAGUCAUGUGUCCCUAUUUAGACUUCCGUUAGAGUGAAGGGCAUAUAUGCUCUAGUUUUUGGACGGCAAGGGCGUCAAAGUCCCAAAAGUAUGACGAAGGUAUCUGCAUAACAUUUACAAUAGUUCGGGAUAUGUUUAUCCUUUUUCCCAUGUAUUUUGAAGAAAUUCUUCUGUUGUUUUUAAUUUAUACUCUUUAACUAUAAUUUCGUACUUAAAAAAACGAUUGAAUCCCUCAGAUUUUUUAAUUAAAAAACAAGUUAAUUUUCUAUUAAGUCCAUCAAUUUAGUAGUGUUAUAUAUAUAUUGAUUUAGUUUGUGUGAUUUUGUUUGGAACAGUUAAUGAAUGUGUUUCAGAAAAACUACAAUCUUCUUCUUGGCAUCUUCAACCCAGAAGGUUGGCUUGAGAUUACGUAUCCUUUUAUGAAUCGAAUAAACGGAAGUAAUCACUAAUAUUUGUAUUAAAGUAGAUCGUCUGUAUCAUACCAUUUGGGGUGCAAUUCUUUCUUAUCAUCAGAUACUGUUAACGCAAAAUAUUUUGUACACCAUACUGUUAAAAUAUCCUUAAUCUUGAAAAUGCAGAUAUGUUGAUGAGAAUUUGAGGAUAGGCAGAGAUGACAAGGGCAACAUUUUUGUCUUGGAGAGGGUUAAUUAAUUAAUUCCCAAUUUAUUUAUAUGUAAAUUUCAAUACAUAUAUCCUUGCUACAUAGAAGAAAUACAUCAAGUUUUGUUCUUCAUAGUCCAUCAUUUUUUCACUCAAUCACAUAUCAUAUUGAACGUCGGGGCUGUUCUUAUUUUACCGGAGGGGUUUGAAUUAGCCCCUCCCGAUCGUAUUUCUCCUGAGAUAAAAGAAAAGAUUUGAUAAUUUUGUAACGUCAUAGAAGGAGCUGCUUUUUCCUACCUAAGUCUUAUAUGGUCUUUUUUUAUACGCUCCGGAUGAUUGACGGAAGAAACACCAAAUAUGUCCUGAACUUCUCGCUCCUAUCGAUCAGUUGAUGGAAAUAGACUACUGACUAUCAGAGAUAUUCGUGUUAUUUCGUCUGCAUUAGAUUGUACAUGAAUGCGUGAGUUAUAUCAAAUACUCAGUAAAUUAUAGACCACUUCAAAUCUUUGUUUUCGAGAGGAAUAAUCAACUCCGCAAAUAUCGCUUGAGCCUUUCAUCAAUUUUCACCCUUUUGUCCAACAAGUUUCACAAUGAAUAGUCGUUAUCUAUCAUAAAGUUACAUAAUAUAACACAUGAUAGUACCAAAACUUACUUUGAGCAAACGCCUCACAAAAUCUAGGCUUUGGGUCUUAAAUAGUUCCGAUCCUUUUGAUUCUUUGGUGGAAAUCUAAGAUUUAAGAAAUAAUAAGUGUUAAAUUAUCUAAUCCUUCAUCAAUUGCAACUCGAAUUCAUGGUGAAAAAUAUUACCUUUGGGUUAAGAUUGAACCUAGGUUGUUUCCUCCUUCAAAAUGCUCUCAAAAAAGUGCAAAAAGACCAUAUUUUUUCAAUCUAAAUUUCAUUGGACUUCUAUCGUGUGCUAAGAAACCUCAUCCUAUAAUUUAUUGCUUUGCUAUUUUAUCGUACUUUUCGAUCACUUUCCUUUUCAUAGUUAUCUAGCCUCUAUUCAACGUAUAAUUGUUUAAAAGUCACAAGAGGACACAUUUUUCUUCUUCUUAUAUGAUAUUUAUCCUUAAAUUCGAUUUGGAUCAAGACUCGAAUGAAGAGAACUCUUAAUUUCAAACUUUGACUCACUUAGCAAAGUUCUAUUUGUAAAUCGACUAUAUAUCCACAUAUUUAUACAUGUCUCAACAACUCAACCAUACUUAAAAAGGGUUUAACACACAACCACUAACAUACUCAAGCACAAAAUGCCAACAUUGAAAAAAUUAUAAUUGUAUUACACGUCUCAACUGCUUCAUCUAUCCUCGAACAAGUAAGAUAUUUGAUUUUUACGUCCUGCUCAAAUUUUCAGAUACCAAAUAGCCUUUUCAACUGGAUAGUUACUUUACAUAACUUUCAUCCAAAGAACAUCUUUAAUUCAAAGCUUACGAGCACAUUUAUCUGUUAUGACUAUAUGAACCUAAUCGUAAAACAAUAUAUCAUCAAACUUAUAUUUCUUAUUUAUCAAAUCACAUGACUAGGACCGUGAAGUAUUGUGUAUACUUUAUUAAUAAAUCAAUAAAAUAUAAUUACACAUAAAAUAGAAUGAAAGGAAUAUUUUUCAAAUCUUAAUAGAGUAAAAAAGUUAAACUCAAAAGAAACGAAAAAAAAGUCAAUGUGGAAAGGGGGUUGAACAAUCAACGGCUGAGAUUAAAUCUAACACGUCAAAAGAAGGUGCUUGAAAGGUUGUCAAAUGACAGAUCAUAUACAACUCCUAAUAAUAAUGGUUGAAAUUAUUCCUACACCUAUCAAACCAUUUAAAUAAUUGGACAAAACAAAUAAAAAUUAAAAAAGUUUCUAUUUUUAGACCUUACAAAAUUCACAAAAUAUUUUAUAGUUGUCAUUCAAUAAUGAGUUUCCUUGCUUUCUCACUUUUAUUGAAUUAGAAUUAUCAAGUUUCCUUUUAUUGAUAUCUUAUUUUAUUAUUAAAGAAUGUGGUGUAGUGAGUUUUUUAGUUAGAGAUUUCGAGUUCGAGUAUUGAAUAUGAAAAAAAUGUUGAUGAAGAGUGUUUUCAUAUGAAUGGAGCUCUACGCGCAUGAACUUAAAUUAAUUAGACUCAAAUACAUAUACUAGACAUUGGAUGAAAAAAAAUCAAAAUAUAUUUGAUUUUAGGGUUUCUUUUUUAUAGUUAAAUACUUCGAGUUAAUUUCUUAUAUAAUCAUCUAAAUAUUGAAAAGAUUUCAUCAAAAUUAUUUUUGAUUUUUUUCUCCUCUAAAUAAUCAUUCAAGUACAAUGUUUUGGUUUUGCACAUUUUUUUUAAAACAUACUCAAUACAAAAUACAAAAUUCAAAUAAAAUUAGGACUAAAUAUUAUAUUAAUAAAUUAUCAUAAUAAAUGUCAUUUCAACAAUUAAAAUGAAUAUAUUUUAUAUUUGACAAAUAUUUUUGAACGAUUUGAAAUUAAUGUUAAAAAUUAUAGUAAAAUCUCAGCAUGAACCUUUAAAUGCUGAAAAAUAAUAUUCCUUGAAAAUUUUCUUGCAUAUGCUUAAAAUUUAACCUUUUUUACAAAAAAAUAAUUUAAGAUGCAUAAGCAUUCAUAUCCUUCACAAAUACACAUUUUUUAUGAAUGUAUACAAUAUAAAUUAGGCACAUUAAAAAGCUUAUACGAACAUCUUUUCGUACAAAAGAAGAAGAAGAAGAAGCAUGUAAAAUUUUGGGAAGAAAAAUCAUUUGUAUUUCAAGAGUCUGAAUUGUGUUAAGAUUCUGUUACAGAUUUGAUUCAUUCAAAUUAUUUUAAACUUGGUAGAAGUUUUUAAAAGGGAUAAAAACAAAUGCAUUUGAGAGUCGUUUGGUAAAAUGUAUAAGAAAAUAGUAUUUCAUGAAGUGUAUUAAUAAUGUUGAAAUCAAUUGUUUUAGGAUAAUUUCCUAUCCACUAUAUGAUUUGAUGUAUUAAAGUCAAUUCCAUCUUUAACCAUGCAUAUCCAUGUGUUAAUAGGCCAUGUAUUAUCAAUACAAUAAUUUGUUAUAUAUUACUUAUCAUAUUAUAUUAAAUAUUAUGUAUUACUAAUAUAUGUAGGCUAAAUAUAAUAUCAUAAAAUACAUAUAUGAUAUUUUGUUUAACACAUCCUAUAAAAUGACCCCUUAAUGAAAUUAGACCUGAAUUGUUAAGAUUUAAACAUGAAAAAACAAACACAUUUAAUAAAUGAAAACUGAAUGAUGAAUUUUUCAAAAUUCAAACUUAUAAGACCUUGGUAUUUAAUGAUGAUUUUUUCAAAAUAUGACAUUAUUUUGUAUUCUCUAUCAAGAAAAAAUAAUAAAAAAGAAAAAGAAAAAGAAAAUUCACCUAUUCUUAUAAUUCCUUAAAUUAACUAGUCCAACAAUUACUACUAUAAUUUAUGUACCAUAUAAUAUAAUAUAUGAUUGAAAAAGCUUGUCCUUUUUGAAAACUUUAGCAUCUUAAAGUUGAAGGCAAAUUUGUCAUUUUGGUGUUGUUGCACUUUUAAAUUUCAAAUUCAAAAAUUCCUACAACCAAAUAUUUACUGCAGUAAUUAAUUAUUUUCAUUUAAAAAGAAAAAAUAUAUUUAAAAAAAAAAACAAAUUUAAACUCAAAACCCUCUUUUUCUUUUUGUAUAUAAUAAGCUUCCCUAGAGUCUUAAGAUUCCUCAUUUUGUAUUUCUUCAUUUCCCCAAACAGAGUCUUCGAAGCCGCCGGCCAUAAUCUCCGGUUGCUUUGCAAAAUCUCCGGCGACCACUUUCCGAUCUCCUCUCAGUUCCCGGUAAGUCUAGAUCUGGUCUUUCUUAUCCUCUUUUUUUUUUUUUUUUUUUUUUUNNNNNNNNNNNNNNNNNNNNNNNNNNNNNNNNNNNNNNNNNNNNNNNNNNNNNNNNNNNNNNNNNNNNNNNNNNNNNNNNNNNNNNNNNNNNNNNNNNNNNNNNNNNNNNNNNNNNNNNNNNNNNNNNNNNNNNNNNNNNNNNNNNNNNNNNNNNNNNNUUUUUUUUAUCCUUUUUUUUUUUUUUUUUUUUUUUUUAGAAUUUUUGAUGGAUUGAGUUAUGUGAAAUGUCAAAGAAAAUUGUGAGAUGCAUGUGGGGUUUAUGUUUUGAGAUCUAUGAAAGUGGUAAAAGAGAUAGAAUUUGUUUAUGUGAAAUGGGUAUUUUUUAUUUCUUGGAUUGACUAGUUAGAUGUAGUGAAUCUUGGGUAUUUGAAGGUUGAGCUAAUAUAAUUCUGGAUCUGAUGAAGUGGAUCUAUUUUGAGGUUGAUCUGCUAUGGAUUUACCUUGAUCUACUGUUUGAUUAUAGUUCAAAAUGGUUUUGAAUGGUGUUCUGUAGCUCUCUUGUGGUGAUUGAUGAAUAAAUCUUGUUAAGUAAAAGAAGAAAAAAGCUUUCUUUUUGUUGGAACUGAAAUUGAUUAUGUCCUUUUGGCUUUCUGAUUACUUUAUAUAUCAAUGAGAUGUAGCUUAGUUGAAAAUGAGUGUGGAGUGAUUGAGGGGUUUUGCUUUUAUGAUUUUUUGUCUCCGAUUGGAUUUGAGGAGAAGCUAAGUUAUAGAGCGAGACGUAUGCGAGUAGUGUCAUUUGGAUUUGCUGGAUUGAUAAAUGAAGCAUAGAGUUUUAAGAUAUUUUCACUUUGGAUUUCCCUCUUAUCUAUAUUGGGAUGUUAAUUGAGAAGUAUGCAAUGUAUUGUCAUUUUGAUAUGAUUGAUCGAUAGGUUAAACAUCCGAGGUUUAAGAUACAUCUAUAUUGGGAUAUUAUCUUAUUCUGUAAUUCCUACAUCUACUUAUCUUGCUGACUACGGUAUCUGGAUUUAAGAUUGCUUAUUAAUCUGUUGUUUGUAUUGGCAGUUGAAUAGAAAAUGGCUGACGGUGAGGAUAUUCAGCCCCUUGUUUGUGACAAUGGAACUGGAAUGGUGAAGGUCAGUUCUUAAUUUUUUUACUUUUAUGAUUUUCAAUGACGGAGUCGUGAUAGUUGAACACUUCAUUUGAAGUGUAUUUUGUUAUAUUCUUGACAUGUUUCUGAUUUUUUUGGUGAAUAAUUUGAUUGUAUAAAUGUAGGCUGGAUUUGCUGGUGACGAUGCUCCUAGAGCAGUGUUCCCUAGCAUUGUUGGUCGUCCUCGUCACACUGGUGUUAUGGUUGGAAUGGGACAGAAGGAUGCAUAUGUUGGUGAUGAAGCUCAAUCCAAGAGGGGUAUCUUGACCUUGAAAUACCCAAUUGAACAUGGUAUUGUCAGCAACUGGGAUGAUAUGGAGAAGAUCUGGCAUCAUACUUUCUAUAAUGAGCUUCGUGUUGCCCCCGAGGAGCACCCUGUUCUGCUCACUGAAGCACCUCUCAACCCUAAGGCCAACAGAGAGAAAAUGACCCAGAUUAUGUUUGAGACCUUCAACGUUCCGGCUAUGUAUGUUGCUAUUCAGGCUGUGCUUUCCUUGUAUGCUAGUGGUCGUACAACUGGUUAGUAUUAGUCCUCUCAUGAUCCAAAUCUUCCCUUGUUGGAAAGUUGUUUUUGAUCUGACAUUAUGAGUGUCUUUUGACAGGUAUUGUGUUGGACUCUGGUGAUGGUGUGAGUCACACUGUCCCUAUCUAUGAGGGUUAUGCUUUGCCACAUGCCAUUCUUCGUUUGGAUCUUGCUGGUCGUGAUUUAACUGAUAACCUGAUGAAGAUCCUCACCGAGAGAGGUUACAUGUUCACCACCACUGCUGAACGGGAAAUUGUCCGUGACAUGAAGGAAAAGCUUGCCUAUGUGGCUCUUGACUAUGAGCAGGAGAUUGAAACUGCCAGGAGCAGCUCCUCCAUUGAAAAGAACUAUGAAUUGCCUGAUGGACAAGUUAUUACCAUUGGUGCUGAGAGGUUCCGUUGCCCAGAGGUCCUCUUCCAGCCAUCCAUGAUUGGUAUGGAAGCUGCAGGUAUCCACGAGACUACCUACAACUCUAUUAUGAAGUGUGAUGUUGAUAUCAGGAAGGACCUCUACGGUAACAUUGUGCUCAGUGGUGGCUCAACCAUGUUCCCUGGUAUUGCUGAUCGUAUGAGCAAGGAAAUCACUGCCUUGGCUCCCAGCAGCAUGAAGAUUAAGGUUGUUGCUCCACCGGAGAGAAAGUACAGUGUCUGGAUUGGAGGAUCCAUCCUUGCAUCACUUAGCACCUUCCAGCAGGCAAGCCUUUGUUUUUUUUUUAUCUUCUCUUGCAUAUACUUUUGCCAUUUAAACUGCAUAUUGUACCAAGUUGUUGCUAACUUAAAACUUGUUUUAAUCAGAUGUGGAUUUCAAAGGGCGAGUACGAUGAGUCUGGUCCAUCCAUUGUCCACAGGAAGUGUUUCUAAGGUGCUGCUGCUAUUUUUACUUGUGUUCACGAGUUACUUUUUAUGUUCUUCCUGCUAAAGUUAUUAAUGUUAUCGUCCACAGUGAACUCGGGUCUGCUGCUAGGCAAGUCUUUGAGAUGGGGCUAUGAAAGAAGGGCAAUUAAAAACAUUGUACUACUGCUGAUACUAUUUCAUGUUUCCAGUGCAAGGCUCUUUUGUCUGGAGAUAUCCCUUCGUGAAUUUGAACUUGAACUCGAACUCGAACUCUUAGGUUGUUUGUAGUUGCGGAGAGUGAUUGUGUUGUUGUUUAUUAUUUUGUUGGGGUUUUAUGUUUCAUUUUCUUUGUUUUGCUAUCCUAUGGUACCUUUUUUU